rnacentral:tRNA from 1 species
CGGGGCGUGGCGCAGUCCGGUAGCGCGCCUGGUUUGGGACCAGGAGGCCGCGGGUUCGAAUCCCGCCGCCCCGA